rnacentral:rRNA from 1 species
GUGGGGAAUAUUGGACAAUGGGCGAAAGCCUGAUCCAGCCAUGCCGCGUGUGUGAAGAAGGUCUUCGGAUUGUAAAGCACUUUAAGUUGGGAGGAAGGGCAGUAAGUUAAUACCUUGCUGUUUUGACGUUACCGACAGAAUAAGCACCGGCUAACUCUGUGCCAGCAGCCGCGGUAAUACAGAGGGUGCAAGCGUUAAUCGGAAUUACUGGGCGUAAAGCGCGCGUAGGUGGUUCGUUAAGUUGGAGGUGAAAUCCCCGGGCUCAACCUGGGAACCGCCUCCAAAACUGCAUGACUAGAGUACGGUAGAGGGUAGUGGAAUUUCCUGUGUAGCGGUGAAAUGCGUAGAUAUAGGAAGGAACACCAGUGGCGAAGGCGACUACCUGGACUGAUACUGACACUGAGGUGCGAAAGCGUGGGGAGCAAACAGGAUUAGAAACCCGAGUAGUCC